GAUGAACGCUAGCGGCAGGCCUAACACAUGCAAGUCGAGGGAGAAGCCCUUUCGGGGGCAGAAACCGGCGCACGGGUGCGUAACGCGUAUGCAACCUACCUUUCACAGGGGGAUAGCCCGAAGAAAUUUGGAUUAAUACCCCAUAAUAUUGUUGGAUGGCAUCAUCUGGCAAUUAAAGCUACGACGGUGGAAGAUGGGCGUGCGUCCUAUUAGCUAGCUGGAGUGGUAACGGCACCCCAAGGCUACGAUAGGUAGGGGUCCUAAGAGGGAGAUCCCCCACACUGGUACUGAGACAGGGACCAGACUCCUACGGGAGGCAGCAGUGAGGAAUAUUGGUCAAUGGUCGGAAGACUGAACCAGCCAUGCCGCGUGCAGGAAGAAUGCCUUAUGGGUUGUAAACUGCUUUUAUAUGGGAAGAAACAAGGCGUAACGUGUACGUUGAUGAACGGUACCAUAUGAAUAAAGCCU
rnacentral:rRNA from 1 species